CCCAUGGUAGCUCAGUGGUCAAGAGCGCAUGACCUGGGAAAUGAUGUGCCGGACUUACAUAGAUUAGAACCCGCCAUGGGA